GACGAACGCUGGCGGCGUGCUUAACACAUGCAAGUCGAACGAGAAUCACUGGAAGGAGUUUUCGGACAACGGAAGGUGAGGACAGUGGCGGACGGGUGAGUAACGCGUGAGGAACCUGCCUUUCAGAGGGGGACAACAGUUGGAAACGACUGCUAAUACCGCAUGACACAUAGAGAUCGCAUGGUUUUUAUGUCAAAGAUUUAUCGCUGAAAGAUGGCCUCGCGUCUGAUUAGCUAGUUGGUGAGGUAACGGCCCACCAAGGCGACGAUCGGUAGCCGGACUGAGAGGUUGACCGGCCACAUUGGGACUGAGAUACGGCCCAGACUCCUACGGGAGGCAGCAGUGGGGAAUAUUGGGCAAUGGGCGCAAGCCUGACCCAGCAACGCCGCGUGAAGGAAGAAGGCUUUCGGGUUGUAAACUUCUUUUGUCGGGGACGAGUAGAAGACGGUACCUGGCGAAUAAGCCACGGCUAACUACGUGCCAGCAGCCGCGGUAAUACGUAGGUGGCAAGCGUUGUCCGGAUUUACUGGGUGUAAAGGGCGUGUAGCCGGGAAGGCAAGUCAGAUGUGAAAUCCACGGGCUUAACUCGUGAACUGCAUUUGAAACUACUUUUCUUGAGUAUCGGAGAGGCAAUCGGAAUUCCUAGUGUAGCGGUGAAAUGCGUAGAUAUUAGGAGGAACACCAGUGGCGAAGGCGGAUUGCUGGA
rnacentral:rRNA from 1 species